UCUUACUGAGUUAUUGGACAUGUUUAUAUAUUCUGGAUAUGAGUCUAUUGGUUAUAUGUAUUCAAAUAGUUCUAUCCUGUGCCUUGCCUUUUCAUCCUUGUGGAUGUCUUGAUGAAGGAAAAUGUUUAAUUUCAGUGUAGAUAUAUGUAUAUAAUUUGAUCCAGUUGCUUCCUUUCUUUCUUUCUUCUUUUCUUUUCUUUCUUUUUUGUCCCUGUGUACCUAGUUGUC
rnacentral:lncRNA from 1 species